UCGGGGGGAGGGUAAGAACAAAGAAGUAAGAAGACUAGAAGAGGGGAGGAAAGAGUUUCAGGUGCAGCGAUACCGAAGAAGACGGGCAACGAGCCAUCGACGCAGCAGAGGGCUUGGGCUAAUGGCCGCCACAGCUAGGGCCUUCCUGCUCUCACGCUUGAACGACCUUCCGCUCAAGACCCCUCAACUACCUCCCGCCUUUACUCGCCAUGUACUUCUACGGCCGCUACUUCCCGCCACCGCCGUUCGGGCAACCACUACCACCACCACCACUAUUGCUACCAAUAGACAGUCUUCUUCUCCUGCUGUUCUUAAUUGCCUCAUAUCCGGCGUCGACGGGGGUGGCGUUGCAGAUGACUUCGUCUCCACCCGAAAGUCCGGUUUCGACCGAGAAUUCUCCGUCAUCGCCAAUAUGCUCAAACGCAUCGAACCUCUAGACACCUCCAUCAUCUCCAAGGGUGUCUCUGCCGCGGCGAGGGAUUCCAUGAAGCGCACAAUCUCGACAAUGCUUGGCCUGCUUCCUUCCGAUCAAUUCUCCGUCACAAUUAGGGUUUUAAGGCGUCCCCUCGACCACCUACUGGUGUCGUCCAUCAUUACCGGGUAUACUCUGUGGAAUGCGGAGUAUCGACUUUCGUUGAUAAGGAACUUCGAGUUGUCUCCUGGGAGUACCGAAGCUUCGGUUUCUUCUCGAGGGCGUGAGGCUUCUGAGAUGGAGUUUGAGGAGAGGGAGGGUGUCAAUGGUCAUAGUGACGUUUGUGUGGGUUGGUCUUGUGAAGAUCUGGUUGAUACAAGGAUUCCUCAAGGUUUGGGGGAUUUGUCUCCCGAAGCUUUCAAUUACAUCCAAGCGCUGAAAUCCGAGGUGGCAGCUAUUGAAAAGGAAUUGAAUGCACAAGAGCAGGAAAAUGUCCACAUGGAAUGUAAUGGAGAAGAGAACAAUGAUUUGUUAGAGUAUUUACGGUCCUUGGAGCCCAAUAUGGUAAAUGAACUAUCUUGCCCGUCAUCAUUAGAGGUGGAGGAAAUUAUUCAUGAACUCAUUCAAAAUAUACUGCAAAAGUUCUUUAAAGAUGAAACUGCCUCCGGUUUCCUGGAAGGCUCAGUCAUAGUAAAAGCAGACAACUACCCAAAUGAAAAUGUUGAGCUUUGUGAUUCUAUUGGCACUACCCGGGAUUACCUUGCUAAGCUACUUUUCUGGUGCAUGUUAAUGGGUCAUCACUUGAGAGGCUUGGAGAACAGAUUGCAUUUGAGCUGUGUUACUGGAUUGUUGUAAAGUUGAAGAAAGGAAGUUGUAGAUGCAUGUACAUUCUUCCUUAUAAUCUGCUUUCUAGAAAACAAUAUGGACAGGAAAAGAACCUUAUUUUUUGGCUCCGGGGAGCAUCCAUUGGAACAUUACCAAAUGCCGCCUAGUUGAUGACCUUCUGUGUUGUAAUGUGUAUCCUAUCUAGAGGUGCUCCACCCAAGUAUCGGAGUUGAGUGAUGGUGAUGGGGGAGGUGGUUUUAUUGGAACCUAUUAACAGAGAAGGCAUUAAAUAACUUUGUACAUCAAUCUUUUAGUUAUUAAAGUAAACUACUGAGGGUUUUAAACACGAAUUGCCCAAGGAGACCAUUAGGCUCAGCAACCACAACACUUAGGUUAUGCAGCCACGUUUUGUUUAUGGUGUAGGAUGUUCGUGCUUGCAAGACAACUUUUGGCACUGAACAGGCUUGUAUGCAUUUAUUGAGUUCGGUCUCUAAAUUUUU